rnacentral:lncRNA from 1 species
GACUAUUGAUUAAGCAGUUUGUAACCAUGGCAAUGAUCUUGUCUUCCUGGAAAGGAAUUGUCAACACACCUUGCCAGUUUCUUACCCUAAACCUUUCAUCACUCUAAAGAAAAUCCACCCAGAUUCUUAAACCGCAUUCUCAAGGGAAAGCUUGAGAACAUGGGAAAGCUUCAAGAUACAGGGAAGGAGAGGACUGAGGUGACGGGUGUAUGCCUGUUUUUUUCUACUGAAUUUAGAACAUUGUUUUUACUUGCUAUUCACUACAAAGGGAGCUAUCUCUUUGACUCCUACUGAUGAGGAAUGCAAGUUUAUUCUUGUGACAAAUAUUUGCUAUACAACUACUUAUUUGCACCUGUGCAGAGUUACAACGGCUGAACUGCCUUGUUCUAGGAGGCCACUGUCUAAUUGUCUCCAGAGGAGAAACCCAAGAGAGAAAGGCUUAGAGGAACUCCACUAAAAGGGAAUCCCAGCAAACGUGGAGGCAGUUCAAAUGCAAGUUUGUAGCUGCUGGCUGGCAAGAUGAGGACACUGGGAAAAGAGUCCCUUGGAUCUUCCCUAAAGCAAGGUCUGAUGAGAAAGCAGAAUGGGGUGAUUACCAUCUCAUUUAUCCAGAAGUCACCCACCGACCAAAUGCACCUGCCUGGAGUUUACCCAAGAACCUUACCACAGUGUCUUGAGUAUGGCAGCUUCACUGUAAGUCUUAAAGUCAGGUAGGCCACACUUUACAAUGCUGCCAUGCCCCCACACUUCAAAGAGGCAGCCUGGAGGACACUGGGGGAACCAGUCUCCGCCACACUUGAACCUUCAGACCAACCUGGAGCAGUGAACUUCUAAAGGCCCAUUGACGUGCAAGGCUCAAAUCAUUAUUUUAAUCAAAUCCUGAUUCUACAACGCAGAUGGAUCAUCUUAAACUUUAGGCAAU